rnacentral:sRNA from 1 species
UGUUUGCCCACGAAUGCGAACGGGCGGG